rnacentral:rRNA from 1 species
AUUGAACGCUGGCGGCAUGCCUUACACAUGCAAGUCGAACGGUAACGCGGGGCAACCUGGCGACGAGUGGCGAACGGGUGAGUAAUGCAUCGGAACGUGCCUGGUAGUGGGGGAUAACUGCUCGAAAGAGCAGCCAAUACCGCAUACGACCUGAGGGUGAAAGGGGGGGAUCGCAAGACCUCUCGCUAUCAGAGCGGCCGAUGUCGGAUUAGCUAGUUGGUGGGGUAAAGGCCCACCAAGGCAACGAUCCGUAGCUGGUCUGAGAGGACGACCAGCCACACUGGGACUGAGACACGGCCCAGACUCCUACGGGAGGCAGCAGUGGGGAAUUUUGGACAAUGGACGCAAGUCUGAUCCAGCCAUGCCGCGUGCGGGAAGAAGGCCUUCGGGUUGUAAACCGCUUUUGUCAGGGAAGAAAUCUUCUGGGCUAAUACCCUGGGAGGAUGACGGUACCUGAAGAAUAAGCACCGGCUAACUACGUGCCAGCCGCCGCAGUAAAAC